rnacentral:rRNA from 1 species
UACGUAGGGGGCAAGCGUUGUCCGGAAUCAUUGGGCGUAAAGCGCGUGUAGGCGGCUCGGUAAGUCUGCUCUGAAAGUCCAAGGCUCAACCUUGGGAUGCGGGUGGAUACUGCCGGGCUCGAGUCCGGAAGAGGCGAGUGGAAUUCCUGGUGUAGCGGUGAAAUGCGCAGAUAUCAGGAGGAACACCAAUGGCGGAGGCAGCUCGCUGGGACGUGACUGACGCUGAGACGCGAAAGCGUGGGGAGCAAACAGG